GCGAAAACUUUACAAUGCUGGCAACAGCGAUAAGGGAACCUCGAGUGCCAGGUUACAAAUCUGGCUGUCGAGAUGCCUAAAAAGCAUUUCAUAGCAAGGGCCGGGCAAGACCGGUGCCAGCCGCCGCGGUAACACCGGCGGCUCGAGUGGUAACCGUUAUUAUUGGGUUUAAAGGGUCUGUAGCCGGCCGGAUAAGUCUCUUGAGAAAUCUGGCAGCUUAACUGUCAGGCUUUCAGGAGAUACUGUCUGGCUCGAGGCCGGGAGAGGUGAGAGGUACUUCAGGGGUAGGGGUGAAAUCUUGUAAUCCUUGAAGGACCACCAGUGGCGAAGGCGUCUCACCAGAACGGACCUGACGGCAAGGGACGAAAGCUAGGGGCACAAACC
rnacentral:rRNA from 1 species